UACGUAGGGGGCGAGCGUUGUCCGGAUUUAUUGGGCGUAAAGGGCUCGUAGGCGGUUCGUCACGUCGGGAGUGAAAACUCGGAGCUUAACUCCGAGCCUGCUUCCGAUACGGGCAGACUAGAGGUAGGCAGGGGAGAGCGGAACUCCUGGUGUAGCGGUGGAAUGCGCAGAUAUCAGGAAGAACACCCGUGGCGAAGGCGGCUCUCUGGGACGGUACUGACGCUGAGACGCGAAAGCGUGGGGAGCGAACAGG
rnacentral:rRNA from 1 species